UUAGAGUUUGAUCAUGGCUCAGAACGUACGCUGGCGGCACGCCUAACACAUGCAAGUCGAACGAAGUAGCAAUACUUAGUGGCAGACGGGUGAGUAACAUGUAGGUAUCUACCCUUUGGCCUGGAAUAACACGAGGAAACUUGUGCUAAUACCGGAUAAGUCUUUACAGAGAAAGCUUUAUGCACCAUUGGAUGAGCCUGCACUUGAUUAGUUUGUUGGUGGGGUAAUGGCCUACCAAGACUGUGAUCAAUAGCUGAUUUGAGAGGAUGAUCAGCCACAUUGGGACUGAGACACGGCCCAAACUCCUACGGGAGGCAGCAGUGGGGAAUCUUGCACAAUGGAGGAAACUCUGAUGCAGCGAUGCCGCGUGAGUGAAGAAGGCCUUUGGGUUGUAAAGCUCUUUCGUCGGGGAAGAAAAUGACUGUACCCGAAUAAGAAGGUCCGGCUAACUUCGUGCCAGCAGCCGCGGUAAUACGAAGGGACCUAGCGUAGUUCGGAAUUACUGGGCUUAAAGAGUUCGUAGGUGGUUGAAAAAGUUGGUGGUGAAAUCCCAGAGCUUAACUCUGGAACUGCCAUCAAAACUUUUCAGCUAGAGUAUGAUAGAGGAAAGCAGAAUUUCUAGUGUAGAGGUGAAAUUCGUAGAUAUUAGAAAGAAUACCAAUUGCGAAGGCAGCUUUCUGGAUCAUUACUGACACUGAGGAACGAAAGCAUGGGUAGCGAAGAGGAUUAGAUACCCUCGUAGUCCAUGCCGUAAACGAUGUGUGUUAGACGUUGGAAAUUUAUUUUCAGUGUCGCAGCGAAAGCGAUAAACACACCGCCUGGGGAGUACGACCGCAAGGUUAAAACUCAAAUGAAUUGACGGGGACCCGCACAAGUAGUGGAGCAUGUGGUUUAAUUCGAAGAUACGCGCAGAACCUUACCAACACUUGACAUGUUCGUCGCGACUCUAAGAGAUUAGAGUUUUCGGUUCGGCCGGACGAAACACAGGUGCUGCAUGGCUGUCGUCAGCUCGUGUCGUGAGAUGUUGGGUUAAGUCCCGCAACGAGCGCAACCCUCACUUUUAGUUGCCAUCAUUAAGUUGGGCACUCUGAAAGAACUGCCAGUGAUAAGCUGGAGGAAGGUGGGGAUGACGUCAAGUCCUCAUGGCCCUUACGUGUUGGGCUACACACGUGCUACAAUGGUAUCUACAACAGGAAGCAAGACUGCGAGGUCAAGCAAAUCCUUAAAAGAUACCUCAGUUCGGAUUGCACUCUGCAACUCGAGUGCAUGAAGCUGGAAUUACUAGUAAUCGUGGAUCAGCGUGCCACGGUGAAUGCGUUCCCGCGGUCUUGUACACACCGCC
rnacentral:rRNA from 1 species